rnacentral:rRNA from 1 species
UAAACAAAUCUCGGCAACGAAUAUCUCGGCUCUCUCAUUGAUGAAGAACGUAGUGAAAUGCGAUAUCUGGUGUGAAUUGCAGAAUCCCGUGAACCAUCGAGUAUUUGAACGCAAGUUGCGCCCAAAGCCAUUAGGCCUAGGGAACGUCUAGAUGGGCGUCACAC